rnacentral:sRNA from 1 species
UAUCUCUCCGUACGGGGAAGGAUGAGAAGCUUCGACUAAGGUUCGAUUCGAGCGCAGCGAG